CCUCCUCUAUUAUCUUCUUCCUCCUCUCCCACUCUUUUCUUUGGAAUGCAGCAGCACUGUAACAAUUUUUUUUUUUUCUUUCCUUUUCCUUCUUCUUCUCCUCCUCCCUGGUUGGCUUCUUCCUCCUCUAUUUGCCCUGUUAUGCUGUCGGUACUCAGUUACAGACUUACAGACUUGCAGCAAUUUUGCAUUUUUUUUUUUCCUUUCCUUCUCUUGGUUUGGUACUUUUGUUGGGUUUUAUUAAUUAGUUAAUUAUUUGCUA
rnacentral:misc_RNA from 1 species